rnacentral:ncRNA from 1 species
UGCAAUUCUCAGGGCGGGGUGAAACUCCCCACCGGCGGUAAGGCGGCAACGCCAAGCCCGCGAGCGCCUUUGGUCUUUUGGCCGGAGGGUCAGCAGAUCCGGUGUGAUUCCGGAGCCGACGGUCAUAGUCCGGAUGAAAGAGAAUGGGU